CGGAGCCAGCCCCACCCCACCCCUACUUCACAGCACAACUGAUCAGGCGAGCUGACUUCUCACCUGAUCAGUUGUGCUGUCUUCUGCCCCACCCCCAAACCCAACAAACCCCAGCCCAGCCCAGCCACACAUCUCCAUCACAGCUGAUCAGCAGCAGUCUGGAAGAAUCACACCCAUCAGAUUGACAUGUGAUAGCUACACGUUUGCUGACUGGUUUUUCCUCAUGUCUGCAGGUUCCAUCAACCCCCCUCCAUAAGCUGUCCCCCCCCCCUCUCCUUGUGGGGGACAGCACAAUGGAGCCUGCCCCCCCCCCCCACCUACUUCACAGCUGAUCAGCAGCAGUCUGGAAGAAUCACACCCAUCAGAUUGACAUGUGAUAGCUACAUGUUUGCUGACUGGUUUUUCCUCAUGUCUGCAGGUUCCAUCAACCCCCCUCCAUACUCUCCCCGGGGGGGGGGGCGACAGCACAACGGAGCCUGCCCCA